CUCUGUGACUCCUACGGGAGGCAGCAGUGGGGAAGUUUUGGACAAUGGGGGCAACCCUGAUCCAGCAAUGCCGCGUGAGUGAAGAAGGCCCUCGGGUUGUAAAGUACUUUCAGCAGUGAGGAAGGUGGGUAUGUUAAUAGCAUAUUCAUUUGACGUUAGCUGCAGAAGAAGCACCGGCUAACUCCGUGCCAGCAGCCGCGGUAAUACGGAGGGUGCGAGCGUUAAUCGGAAUUACUGGGCGUAAAGCGCAUGCAGGUGGUUUGUUAAGUCAGAUGUGAAAGCCCCGGGGCUCAACCUCGGAAUUGCAUUUGAAACUGGCAAACUAGAGUACUGUAGAGGGGGUAGAAUUUCAGGUGUAGCGGUGAAAUGCGUAGAGAUCUGAAGGAAUACCGGUGGCGAAGGCGGCCCCCUGGACAGAUACUGACACUCAGAUGCGAAAGCGUGGGGAGCAAACAGGAUUAGAUACCCUGGUAG
rnacentral:rRNA from 1 species